UCUCCGGGCUGGUGAUUGGCGUGGGGAACUGAGGAGAGACAGACAUAACGCAGCAAUAGUGGUCCACCAGAAGCGACAGCGUUAUGAAGCGUGUUGGACAGCGUUAAAUUGCAGUAAGAGGUGCGAUUUGUGCAUAAUCAUUUUAUAUGAAGUGUUACAACAAUGAUGAAUUACUUUUUAUGUUUACGGAAUUUAGCAAAAUGGAAUGUCUUUUGCAAUAUGCACGAUCUUGUAAUUUAUGAGUGCAGUAUGUGUGGUAGCACAUUAAAAAUCAAAACGUUCAGUUUACAUAUAAUACAUUUGUUAGGAAUGUAUGGUGUUAUUUUUUGUACAAUUUUAGAUAACAUAUAUAUCACACACCUAUAUAUAAACAAUAGAAACCUUGAGAUUUAUGGAGAUUGAUAUAAUAUAAAAAAAUAGUAGUAA